rnacentral:rRNA from 1 species
AUUGAACGCUGGCGGCAUGCCUUACACAUGCAAGUCGAACGGUAACGGGCCUUCGGGUGCCGACGAGUGGCGAACGGGUGAGUAAUACAUCGGAACGUGCCCGAUCGUGGGGGAUAACGAGGCGAAAGCUUUGCUAAUACCGCAUACGAUCUACGGAUGAAAGCAGGGGACCGCAAGGCCUUGCGCGGGCGGAGCGGCCGAUGGCAGAUUAGGUAGUUGGUGGGAUAAAAGCUUACCAAGCCGACGAUCUGUAGCUGGUCUGAGAGGAUGAUCAGCCACACUGGGACUGAGACACGGCCCAGACUCCUACGGGAGGCAGCAGUGGGGAAUGUUGGACAAUGGGCGCAAGCCUGAUCCAGCCAUGCCGCGUGCAGGAUGAAGGCCUUCGGGUUGUAAACUGCUUUUGUACGGAACGAAAAGCCUUCUUUUAAUACAGGAGGGUCAUGACGGUACCGUAAGAAUAAGCACCGGCUAACUACGUG